UACGGGGGGGGGCAAGCGUUGUUCGGAAUUACUGGGCGUAAAGGGUUCGUAGGUGGCCCGCUAAGUCACACGUGAAAUCCCUCAGCUUAACUGGGAACUGCGUGUGAGACUGGCAGGCUUGAGUGCAGGAGAGGAACGCGGAAUUCCAGGUGUAGCGGUGAAAUGCGUAGAGAUCGGGAGGAAGGCCGGUGGCGAAGGCGGCGCUCUGGAACGUACCUGACGCUGAGACACGAAAGCGUGGGGAGCAAACAGG
rnacentral:rRNA from 1 species